AGCGAACGCUGGCGGCAGGCCUAACACAUGCAAGUCGAACGAACCUUUCGGGGUUAGUGGCGGACGGGUGAGUAACACGUGGGAACGUGCCUUUAGGUUCGGAAUAACUCAGGGAAACUUGUGCUAAUACCGAAUGUGCCCUUCGGGGGAAAGAUUAAUCGCCUUUAGAGCGGCCCGCGUCUGAUUAGCUAGUUGGUUGAGGUAAUGGCUCACCAAGGCGACGAUCAGUAGCUGGUCUGAGAGGAUGAUCAGCCACAUUGGGACUGAGACACGGCCCAAACUCCUACGGGAGGCAGCAGUGGGGAAUCUUGCGCAACGGGCGAAAGCCUGACGCAGCCAUGCCGCGUGAAUGAUGAAGGUCUUAGGAUUGUAAAAUUCUUUCACCGGGGACGAUAAUGACGGUACCCGGAGAAGAAGCCCCGGCUAACUUCGUG
rnacentral:rRNA from 1 species